GUGAGGAAUAUUGGUCAAUGGGCGGGAGCCUGAACCAGCCAAGUCGCGUGAAGGAAGAAGGAUCUAUGGUUCGUAAACUUCUUUUGCAGGGGAAUAAAGUGCAGGACGUGUCCUGUUUUGUAUGUACCCUGAGAAUAAGGAUCGGCUAACUCCGUGCCAGCAGCCGCGGUAAUACGGAGGAUCCGAGCGUUAUCCGGAUUUCUUGGGUUUAAAGGGUGCGUAGGUGGUUCGAUACGUCAGCGGUGAAAGUUUGCAGCUUAACUGUAAAAAUGCCGUUGAAACUGUCGGACUUGAGUGUAAAUGAGGUAGGCGGAAUGCGUGGUGUAGCGGUGAAAUGCAUAGAUAUCACGCAGAACUCCGAUUGCGAAGGCAGCUUACUAAGCUACAACUGACACUGAAGCACGAAAGCGUGGGGAUCAAACAGGAUUAGAUACCCCUGUAGUC
rnacentral:rRNA from 1 species